UUACUUACUCCGUGAAUCGGA
rnacentral:sRNA from 1 species